AGUACGGUCGCAAGACUAAAACUCAAAGAAAUUGACGGGGCCCCGCACAAGCAGCGGAGCAUGCGGCUUAAUUCGACGCAACGCGAAGAACCUUACCAAGGCUUGACAUAUACAGGAAUACGGCAGAGAUGUCGCAGCCGCAAGGUCUGUAUACAGGUGGUGCAUGGUUGUCGUCAGCUCGUGUCGUGAGAUGUUGGGUUAAGUCCCGCAACGAGCGCAACCCUCGUCCUGUGUUACCAGCAUUUAGUUGGGGACUCACAGGAGACUGCCGGGGUCAACUCGGAGGAAGGUGGGGAUGACGUCAAAUCAUCAUGCCCCUUAUGUCUUGGGCUGCACGCAUGCUACAAUGGCUGGUACAAAGAGCUGCAAUACCGCAAGGUGGAGCGAAUCUCAAAAAGCCAGUCUCAGUUCGGAUUGGGGUCUGCAACUCGACCCCAUGAAGUCGGAGUUGCUAGUAAUCGUAGAUCAGCAACGCUACGGUGAAUACGUUCCCGGGGCUUGUACACACCGCCCGUCACGUCACGAAAGUCGGUAACACCCAAAGUCAGUGGCCUAACCGCAAGGGGGGAGCUGCCUAAGGUGGGAUCGGUGAUUGGGACG
rnacentral:rRNA from 1 species